rnacentral:rRNA from 1 species
AUCAGGGGUAAACCUGUGGAACUCGAACGAACGAACGGGGAGAUUCAUCGUAUGUUCGGACGGAUCCGCGAUGCGAUUCGUGUUCGCGACGGUCGCGUCGUUCGCGCGACGUUCGCCGUCGCGUCGGUCGCGUCGUACACGUAAGGUCCCCGGAAUGCGUGCACUUCUCCCUUAGUAAAACACCGCGACCCGUUCGACGGGGAUCGAACGCGCCGUGCGGUUGUCCCGUUUCGAACGUUAAAAAUUCGGAGCGGAGCCGCGGCGUCGCGAUCCCCGAUCGCGGACGGUAAAGAACAAGGUGCGCGUUCGCCCGCUCAGGGCGUCCGUUUCGCGAGCCGUGCGAGCCUCGUGCGAACCUCGACGUUCACGCGUCGUGGAAUUUCGUACGUUGUCUGCUCGUUCGCGCUUCGCGUCGUCUCGGACGGAACGCGUGUCCCGGUCGGCGGUGGUUUUGUUUCGGGCACUCACAGGACCCGUCUUGAAAC